GAUGAACGCUAGCGGCAGGCUUAACACAUGCAAGUCGAGGGGUAUAGUUCUUCGGAACUAGAGACCGGCGCACGGGUGCGUAACGCGUAUGCAAUCUACCUUUUGCAGAGGGAUAGCCCAGAGAAAUUUGGAUUAAUACCUCAUGGUAUGUGAGAAUGGCAUCAUUUUCACAUUAAAGUCACAACGGCAAAAGAUGAGCAUGCGUCCCAUUAGCUUGUUGGUAAGGUAACGGCUUACCAAGGCAACGAUGGGUAGGGGUCCUGAGAGGGAGACCCCCCACACUGGUACUGAGACACGGACCAGACUCCUACGGGAGGCAGCAGUGAGGAAUAUUGGACAAUGGGCGCAAGCCUGAUCCAGCCAUGCCGCGUGCAGGAUGACGGUCCUAUGGAUUGUAAACUGCUUUUGUACAGGAAGAAACACUGGUUCGUGAACCAGCUUGACGGUACUGUAAGAAUAAGGAUCGGCUAACUCCGUGCCAGCCGCCGCGGUAAGAC
rnacentral:rRNA from 1 species